rnacentral:rRNA from 1 species
CAGCCGCCGCGGUAAUACGAAGGGUGCAAGCGUUAAUCGGAAUUACUGGGCGUAAAGCGUGCGCAAGCGGUUCGCUAAGACAGAUGUGAAAUCCCCGGGCUUAACCUGGGAACUGCAUUUGUGACUGGCGGGCUAGAGUAUGGCAGAGGGGGGUAGAAUUCCACGUGUAGCAGUGAAAUGCGUAGAGAUGUGGAGGAAUACCGAUGGCGAAGGCAGCCCCCUGGGCCAAUACUGACGCUCAUGCACGAAAGCGUGGGGAGCAAACAGGAUUAGAUACCCGCGUAGUCCCUGUCUCUUAUAC